rnacentral:rRNA from 1 species
AUUGAACGCUGGCGGCAUGCUUUACACAUGCAAGUCGAACGGUAACAGGUCUUCGGAUGCUGACGAGUGGCGAACGGGUGAGUAAUACAUCGGAACGUGCCUAGUAGUGGGGGAUAACUACUCGGAAGAGUAGCUAAUACCGCAUGAGAUCUACGGAUGAAAGCAGGGGACCUUCGGGCCUUGGGCUACUAGAGCGGCUGAUGGCAGAUUAGGUAGUUGGUGGGGUAAAGGCUUACCAAGCCUGCGAUCUGUAGCUGGUCUGAGAGGACGACCAGCCACACUGGGACUGAGACACGGCCCAGACUCCUACGGGAGGCAGCAGUGGGGAAUUGUGGACAAUGGGCGAAAGCCUGAUCCAGCAAUGCCGCGUGCAGGAUGAAGGCCCUCGGGUUGUAAACUGCUUUUGUACGGAACGAAAAGCCUGGGGCUAAUAUCCCCGGGUCAUGACGGUACCGUAAGAAUAAGCACCGGCUAACUACGUGCCAGCCGCCGCCGUAAAAC